UAGCUCCUUCGAUACCAAUGUAUUCUAGUAAUAUGAAUUUUUUGAAAAAAAUCAUAUUACUAGAAUACAUUGGUAUCGAAGGAACUAGAU